UACGGGGGGGGCAAGCGUUGUUCGGAAUUACUGGGCGUAAAGGGCUCGUAGGCGGCCAACUAAGUCAGACGUGAAAUCCCUCGGCUUAACCGGGGAACUGCGUCUGAUACUGAAUGGCUUGAGUUUGGGAGAGGGAUGCGGAAUUCCAGGUGUAGCGGUGAAAUGCGCAGAUAUCAGGAAGAACACCCGUGGCGAAGGCGGCUCUCUGGUACGUGACUGACGCUGAGACGCGAAAGCGUGGGGAGCGAACAGG
rnacentral:rRNA from 1 species